rnacentral:rRNA from 1 species
UACGUAGGGGGCAAGUGUUGUCCGGAAUUAUUGGGCGUAAAGAGCGUGUAGGCGGUCCGGUAAGUCAGCUGUGAAAGUCAAGGGCUCAACCCUUGAAUGCCGGUUGAUACUGUCGGGCUAGAGUCCGGAAGAGGCGAGUGGAAUUCCCGGUGUAGCGGUGAAAUGCGCAGAUAUCGGGAGGAACACCAAUGGCGAAGGCAGCUCGCUGGGACGGUACUGACGCUGAGACGCGAAAGCGUGGGGAGCAAACAGG